rnacentral:rRNA from 1 species
AUACGUAGGGGGCGAGCGUUGUCCGGAAUUAUUGGGCGUAAAGGGUGCGUAGGCGGCUUGGCAAGUCCUGUGUGAAAGGUCGCGGCUUAACCGCGGUGGGUCAUGGGAAACCGCUGAGCUUGAGUGCCGGAGAGGAUAGCGGAAUUCCACGUGUAGCGGUGAAAUGCGUAGAUAUGUGGAGGAACACCAGUGGCGAAGGCGGCUAUCUGGAAGGUAACUGACGCUGAGGCACGACAGCUGGGGGAGCAAACAGGAUUAGAUACCCUGGUAGUCCCAGCCGUAAACGAUGAGUGCUAGGUGUUGCGGGUAUCGACCCCCGCAGUGCCGAAGUCAACACAAUAAGCACUCCGCCUGGGGAGUACGGCCGCAAGGCUGAA